rnacentral:misc_RNA from 1 species
AAGAAGGAUGCAGAGGACUAUGCUGGUGCGAUGGCUUCGGGGUUGAUUUGUGGCGAUGGCAUAUGGACUGUUCCGUCUGCGGUGCUUUCAAUCUUCAGGAUUGAUCCUCCAAUUUGUAUGUCAUUUGCGCCCUCUGUAGCUGGGUGAAUAUGGAAUUCGAUGAGAUCCCUGUUUGUGGUGGCGAACUUGUCUCGGUGUAUAAUUCGGGGCUAUAAACUAAGUUGUACAUAUUUCGGUGGUGGCG